AGUCGAACGGUAACAGGAAGCAGCUUGCUGCUUCGCUGACGAGUGGCGGACGGGUGAGUAAUGUCUGGGAAACUGCCUGAUGGAGGGGGAUAACUACUGGAAACGGUAGCUAAUACCGCAUAACGUCGCAAGACCAAAGAGGGGGACCUUAGGGCCUCUUGCCAUCGGAUGUGCCCAGAUGGGAUUAGCUAGUAGGUGGGGUAACGGCUCACCUAGGCGACGAUCCCUAGCUGGUCUGAGAGGAUGACCAGCCACACUGGAACUGAGACACGGUCCAGACUCCUACGGGAGGCAGCAGUGGGGAAUAUUGCACAAUGGGCGCAAGCCUGAUGCAGCCAUGCCGCGUGUAUGAAGAAGGCCUUCGGGUUGUAAAGUACUUUCAGCG
rnacentral:rRNA from 1 species